rnacentral:misc_RNA from 1 species
GAGAAACAGAAAACAAACCAGUUUUUGCUUCGCAUUAUUAGCUAUGUCGUCGUCGGAGACAGUUCCGGAGUCGCCGGAAUCUGAUUUAACUCAAAUCAAUUUCGAUGAAACUGAGCUCACCUUGGGACUUCCGGGAGCUGAAUUCCGGCCAACUGAUCACAAACCCAAUGCCAAACGUUGUUUCCAUGACACUGUUGAUGCUGGUGCCGGGAGCUCGACAAGCGAACCGCGUGAUGUUCACG